rnacentral:rRNA from 1 species
UACGGAGGGUGCAAGCGUUAUCCGGAUUCACUGGGUUUAAAGGGUGCGUAGGUGGGCUGGUAAGUCAGUGGUGAAAUCUCCAGGCUUAACUUGGAAACUGCCAUUGAUACUAUCAGUCUUGAAUACCGUGGAGGUCAGCGGAAUAUGUCAUGUAGCGGUGAAAUGCUUAGAUAUGACAUAGAAUACCGAUAGCGAAGGCAGCUUACUACAUGUUAAUUGACGCUGAGGCACGAAAGCGUGGGGAGCAAACAGG